AACUUUAGCGCCUUGACGACAACAGCUAGAAUAGCCGCGGCGACGGAGGAUUGUCUCCCCGAUGAGGCCGCCAUUCUAGCUGUCGUCGUCGAGGCGCUAAAGU
rfam:Oryza meridionalis cultivar OR44 (W2112) chromosome 11, whole genome shotgun sequence.